rnacentral:rRNA from 1 species
CCUACGGGAGGCAGCAGUGGGGAAUAUUGGACAAUGGGCGAAAGCCUGAUCCAGCAAUGCCGCGUGGGUGAUGAAGGCCUUAGGGUUGUAAAGCUCUUUUACCAGGGAUGAUAAUGACAGUACCUGGAGAAUAAGCUCCGGCUAACUCCGCGCCAGCAGCCGCGGUAAUACGGAGGGAGCUAGCGUUGUUCGGAAUUACUGGGCGUAAAGCGUACGUAGGCGGUUAUUCAAGUCAGAGGUGAAAGCCUGGAGCUCAACUCCAGAACUGCCUUUGAAACUAGAUAGCUAGAAUCUUGGAGAGGUGAGUGGAAUUCCGAGUGUAGAGGUGAAAUUCGUAGAUAUUCGGAAGAACACCAGUGGCGAAGGCGACUCACUGGACAAGUAUUGACGCUGAGGUACGAAAGCGUGGGGAGCAAACAGGAUUAGAUACCCUGGUAGUCCACGCCGUAAACGAUGAUAACUAGCUGUUCGGGCUCUACGAGCUUGAGUGGCGCNGCUACGACAUUAAGUUAUCCGCCGUCGGGAGGUACGGUCGCGAAGAAGUUAAAACUAACUAAAUAGUUAAGUUAGUACGGUUCGUUGAGACGUUGCCGAACGGACGACGACGAGGGGAGGUUAGG